rnacentral:rRNA from 1 species
CGGUCGGGAAUCGGACGGGGAGUGGAAAGGCAAAAGAGAGCUUGUAUGCAAGACAGCAUGGUGUAGAAGCGAUGAAAAUCGUACGUAGUGGGCCGGUGGUUCUGCGUGGACGGGCCAUCGCUCAACGGAUAAAAGCUACCCUGGGGAUAACAGGCUUAUCUCCCCCAAGAGUCCACAUCGACGGGGAUGUUUGGCACCUCGAUGUCGGCUCAUCCCAUCCUGGGGCUGUAGUAGGUCCCAAGGGUUGGGCUGUUCGCCCAUUAAAGUGGUACGCGAGCUGGGUUCAGCACGUCGUGAGACAGUUCGGUCACUAUCCGUCGCAGGCGUAGGAAAUUUGAGAAGACCUGUCCUUAGUACGUAAGGACCGUGGUGGCGGUACCUCGGGUGCU